UACGAAGGGGGCUAGCGUUGUUCGGAAUUACUGGGCGUAAAGCGUGCGCAGGCGGCUUCUCAAGUCAGGGGUGAAAGUCCAGAGCUCAACUCUGGAAUUGCCUUUGAGACUGAGUGGCUUGAGUACGAGAGAGGUGAGUGGAAUUCCCAGUGUAGAGGUGAAAUGCGUAGAUAUCAGGAGGAACACCGGUGGUGUAAACGGCUUUCUGGACCAUAACUGACGCUGAGGCACGAAAGCGUGGGUAGCAAACAGG
rnacentral:rRNA from 1 species